CCAGGAGCAAGGAAAGGGGGCGAUCCCCACUCUCAAACCCUAAAUUCUGCUUAAAACUCUCAAUUGAAGGAGCAAAUCUGGUCCAAACGAAAAUCCGAGCCUAGAAUCGUGAUCCUCAUCGCAAGAGGAUUAUAAGGAACGGGCGCAGGAGCGUCAAGCGGACAAGCGGGUGGCGAACCACGUCAAAAAGGGCUACUUUGAAGGUGAUGAGGUGGAUCAUAUGGACGACGGUCAAGCAACGUAGAAGAACCGAACACGA